UACGUGUUUGUUUGUUUGUUUGUUUGUUUUUCAUAAAAAUCUUAAAUUGGCUGUACCCUGACCAGAUGGGUCAUAUUUGGCCCUUGGGCACUCAUAUUGUAAAACACAAAGGCAAGAACUUUGAAGAGAUAUGGUAUAUAGGUGAAGGAGAGGGAAGAGGAGACAGCUCGUAAAUUUGUUCAUUGAACAAAUACUUAUUGAGCAUCUCCUGUAUAUGAGCACUGCCUAGGUAUUAAGCAUGUAAAGAUAAUUAAGGCCCACUUUCUACCCAUAAGAGAAUCUAUGUCUAGGGCUGUUUGAGGAAAUGAAGAAGAAAGCAGAAGGCAUUGGGUGGAGAAAAGAUUAAAGGUCAAGACUUGGGCUUGUCAAGUUUGAGAUGAGAAUGAUACAUCCAAAUGGUCUUUAUUGUGCUUCUAAAAUGAGUCAAAAGUCUAAAUUCUGUGGGAAAAAGCGUUGAGUAAAAUGGAAGGCCAGCAUGACAUGGAUGUGAAGUCUGAUUUGUAUUGGGAAGUAUACAUUUGAUACUUCAUGGAUGGAAGAAGUUUUGUUUUGUUUUUUUUUUUCCUAAUUUAAGUUAGGACUUCUUGCCAAGUUUCUGCUUAGGAAUUCUGAACUGAACUUCAGAUGUUUAGGGGCUUCUGUUUUAAACACAUUUGGAGUUGUGGCUUCUUGUUCAAGGGAAAAACCCCUUCAAGUACAUCAAAGAGCUGUGAAAAAAGAUACAGUAUGUUGACAAUUUGUGUAAGGGCAUCAAAACCAGAAAAAUUUCUCUGUUGUACACACAAAUUUCAAAGUUGGGGAAGAAGGUUUCUGGUGAGAGGCUUCUGUUGCUGUAUUAUACCCCCAAAUACUUGGGAAAUAAUUUAACACAUUCACUGUACCGAAAGUGUGACCUGGCUCACCCAGCAAUUUCAAACCAAGGUCUAGAAGAUGUUUUCUCUGGUGGGUGACCGUUAAAUAAAUUGUGAGGCUUCUCACUGCUGUGCCCAGGUGAGAAGUCAGGGAAUAGAAGUAGGAGGAGGAAUCUUCCCAGAACAUCAGAAGCCACUUGACCCAGCGCCUUGGGGAAACUGCUUAAAAAUUCAAUUUAAAUCACAGUGGCCAGAUCUAGUGAGGGAAUGAUGGAAGAAGAUUGUCUGUGCUGAUUCAAGACCCAGUUCAUUCCUUAAUCCUAUUGAGGACCUAGUAAAAGCAGGUACAAAAUAAAAUGCACACCUGCAAGGAGCAAGCCCACUAUUAGAUUCUUGGCAGAGGGGCAUGGGUAUCUGGGAUAUGGUCUAGAGUCUCAGCUCCAUUACUCACUACCUGGGUAAGUUCGGGCAGGUUUCCCUAACUUCUGUGAGCCUCUGUUUUCUCAUUUGGAAAAUACGAACAGUAGCACCAACCUCAACAGAUUGUUGCUUGAAUAAAUGGAUGUUGGAUAUAAAGUGCCUAACGGAUUAGUUGAUGCUUAAAAAGAACUAAAAAAAAUGUUCCCCCCUCCUCCUCUUUGCCUCUGUUUUUUUUCUUUCUCUUGAGAGGAUAAAAUAAUCUUAGGACUAGUUUAGGUUAAGUGAGGAUUUCGAGUUAAGAAAUCAAGGAGGUGAUGAUUUGUACCUCAGUUCUAGCUCUGCUGUAACUCAUUGUGUGACUGAGGCAAAUCACUUAACCUCUCUCACCUCUGUUUCCUCACCUACAAAUUGAGGAUGGGAUUGCAGUUUACAAAUAUUUGUAAAUUGGAAGAAAAGAUCAAGUUAAGCUCUUACGUAGGAAGAAGAAGUUAACAAAAUGGUCAGGAAGGUGCAUUAGAGUUCCGCUUCCUAAGUUGCAGCCUGGGCUCUAAAACUUACUUGCUAUAUGACUUAGAUCUAGUCACCCAAAUCACUGUGUCUCAAUUUUAUCUGUUGAAUAGAAAUAAUAAUAACAAUAAUAAUAAUAUAAUAAUAAUAGUUUAUGCCCCAUAGAUAUGAAGAGUAAAUGAAAUAAUGUGUAUAAAAUACUUAGCAUAUGCCUGGCACAUAGUGAAUGAUCAAUACAUAUCUUUAUUUUCUCAGACAACUUUGUUGGAAACAUUGCUUGUGACCAGAGAUGAAAGACUGAAUUAGUGGAGAAACCUUAAAGUGUGAUUUUGAGCCACCCUGACCUAGAGAUUCUGAAUAGACCUUUCUGAGUUCUGUUUCAUAGUGGGAUUAGACUGCUGGGUUGUCCCAGUGUUUGGGAACCAUUUUGGGAACAGCAACAACUUUCACUGUUUCUGGAACUGCUCACUCCUGUGAGCCUCCCUCUAUGGUGUUGACCUUCCCCUGGAAGAAAAGGGCCUCCAGUCACAACCUCAUGGAAGCAUAAUUGGGAUUGCUCUAGUUAGGAGUAAUUUGCCUGCAUCUUAAGAAACCUGCCCCACGAUAAUCACCAAGACCUUCCAGUGCUGAAAGUGUAGAGAACCCAAUUUAAUACUGCUGUUGGGUAACCAGAGUCUGAUAUACUGUGGUUCCAAUUCUGUUGCUCAAGUAAACUUAAAGAUGAAUUAGGCAGUGAGAGUUGCUAGCCAUAUUCCCUUGUGCAGCCUUACUAAGGGGAGAGGUGAUGUCCUGGGAGAGGUUGCUAUGAAUGAUGAAUCCGAUUCAUUGCAGUGUCUAAAAACUCUCUAGAAAGGAGUUCCAAGGAAAGAAAUGCCUAUGGCAGCCAGCAGUGCAACCGGAGAAAAGAGGGCAUCAUCAGUACCAGACCUAGACCUUUGGAAGACUUAAGUGCUAAAAAGAUUACAGUGUUCCACCUCCACCCCCACCACUGUUCUCCACAUUACAUGCAAUUGAAAACAAAGGUGAAGAACCCCAAACACUAGGAGACUAAAGAAGAAGAAGUUAUGAUCCAAAUCAAGUCUGAAAUUUCUUUCAACUGAUUGCUUUCCCUGCUAGUAACUCAAUAGGCAAUACUACUUCUUUCAAAAAUCAGUGAACAGAAGUGCUAUGAAGAAACAAAUUGGGAGAAAUCUUCAUUCCUCCCUUCUGCAGUCCCAGUGGAAAAUCCACCGUGUUUACGAGGCCUCAAACUCUGACUUUCUGUCUCAUCAGCCUGGGAGACUGCUGGAGGUUCUGAUCGACGCCCGCCACCUGUGAAUUGGUCAAGAGAUACAGAGAAUUAAUCAUGCACCCAGUUGCCUAGAGGAGAAAAUAAUCUAUCUGUGGCAGUCUGAAAAAGCAAGAAGUUCUACGGUAAGGUCCACCCAUAAAUCCCAAAACUAUUGUGCACGUUUUUUCUUGAAUCCUUGAGUUUGUGGUUAAGCAGAAGGACUUCCCUUCUCCUGCCCUUAUUUAUUUUCUGUGUUUGCAGAGCACUUUGUAACAUAACCUUGUUACAUCAGCAUUGUGUUCCAGAGCUUUUUGCCUAGACCAUAGGCACUAGGCCCUGUGUCCUAUUACUCUGAGGCAAGAAUAUAAUAGGUGUUCAAUGUGUUUGUGGAAAGACUAGCACCACAUGGAACGUGUAUUUGACAUGGUGGCCAUGUCUAAAACACAGUCAUGCCAUUAAUACCAAUGAUGGGGAAAUUUAAGAUAUCCCGAGAUAUUUUGCAAAGCAUGAAAAAAAUCCUCAAUUACACAUUGCAUUGGAAUAC